rnacentral:rRNA from 1 species
AUUGAACGCUGGCGGCAGGCCUAACACAUGCAAGUCGAGCGGAUGAAGGGAGCUUGCUCCUGGAUUCAGCGGCGGACGGGUGAGUAAUGCCUAGGAAUCUGCCUGGUAGUGGGGGAUAACGUCCGGAAACGGGCGCUAAUACCGCAUACGUCCUGAGGGAGAAAGUGGGGGAUCUUCGGACCUCACGCUAUCAGAUGAGCCUAGGUCGGAUUAGCUAGUUGGUGGGGUAAAGGCCUACCAAGGCGACGAUCCGUAACUGGUCUGAGAGGAUGAUCAGUCACACUGGAACUGAGACACGGUCCAGACUCCUACGGGAGGCAGCAGUGGGGAAUAUUGGACAAGGGGCGAAGGCUGAUCCAGCCAUGCCGCGUGUGUGAAGAAGGUCUUCGGAUUGUAAAGCACUUUAAGUUGGGAGGAAGGGCAGUAAGUUAAUACCUUGCUGUUUUGACGUUACCAACAGAAUAAGCACCGGCUAACUUCGUG